rnacentral:rRNA from 1 species
GACGAACGCUUGCGGCGUGCUUAACACAUGCAAGUCGAACGGAAAGGCCCUGCUUUUGUGGGGUGCUCGAGUGGCGAACGGGUGAGUAACACGUGAGUAACCCGCCCUUGACUUUGGGAUAACUUCAGGAAACUGGGGCUAAUACCGGAUAGGAGCUCCUGCUGCAUGGUGGGGGUUGGAAAGUUUCGGCGGUUGGGGAUGGACUCGCGGCUUAUCAGCUUGUUGGUGGGGUAGUGGCUUACCAAGGCUUUGACGGGUAGCCGGCCUGAGAGGGUGACCGGCCACAUUGGGACUGAGAUACGGCCCAGACUCCUACGGGAGGCAGCAGUGGGGAAUAUUGCACAAUGGGCGGAAGCCUGAUGCAGCAACGCCGCGUGCGGGAUGACGGCCUUCGGGUUGUAAACCGCUUUCGCCUGUGACGAAGCGUGAGUGACGGUAAUGGGUAAAGAAGCACCGGCAAACUACGUGCCAGCAGCCGCGGUGAUACGUAGGGUGCGAGCGUUGUCCGGGUUUAUUGGGCGUAAAGGGCUCGUAGGUGGUUGAUCGCGUCGGAAGUGUAAUCUUGGGGCUUAACCCUGAGCGUGCUUUCGAUACGGGUUGACUUGAGGAAGGUAGGGGAGGAUGGAAUUCCUGGUGGAGCGGUGGAAUGCGCAGAUAUCAGGAGGAACACCAGUGGCGAAGGCGGUUCUCUGGGCCUUUCCUGACGCUGAGGAGCGAAAGCGUGGGGAGCGAACAGGCUUAGAUACCCUGGUAGUCCACGCUGUAAACGGUGGGUACUAGGUGUGGGGUCCAUUCCACGGGUUCCGUGCCGUAGCUAACGCUUUAAGUACCCCGCCUGGGGAGUACGGCCGCAAGGCUAAAACUCAAAGGAAUUGACGGGGCCCCGCACAAGCGGCGGAGCAUGCGGAUUAAUUCGAUGCAACGCGUAGAACCUUACCUGGGUUUGACAUGGAUCGGGAGUGCUCAGAGAUGGGUGUGCCUCUUUUGGGGUCGGUUCACAGGUGGUGCAUGCCUGUCGUCAGCUCGUGUCGUGAGAUGUUGGGUUAAGUCCCGCAACGAGCGCAACCCUUGUUCACUGUUGCCAGCACGUUAUGGUGGGGACUCAGUGGAGACCGCCGGGGUCAACUCGGAGGAAGGUGGGGAUGACGUCAAGUCAUCAUGCCCCUUAUGUCCAGGGCUUCACGCAUGCUACAAUGGCUGGUACAGAGAGUGGCGAGCCUGUGAGGGUGAGCGAAUCUCGGAAAGCCGGUCUCAGUUCGGAUUGGGGUCUGCAACUCGACCUCAUGAAGUCGGAGUCGCUAGUAAUCGCAGAUCAGCAACGCUGCGGUGAAUACGUUCCCGGG